rnacentral:rRNA from 1 species
GACGAACGCUGGCGGCGUGCCUAAUACAUGCAAGUUGAGCGCUGAAGGGUGGUACUUGUUCCACUUGCAUGAGCAGCGAACGGGUGAGUAACGCGUGGGUAACCUGCCUAUAAGACGGGGACAACAUCUGGAAACGAAUGCUAAUACCGCAUAAAAACUUUAAACACAAGUUUCAAGUUUGAAAGAUGCAAUUGCAUCACCCUAAAAUGGUCCCGCGUUGUCUUAGCCAGUUUGGGAAGUAAAGGCCUACCAAGGCGAAGAUACAUUGCCCAACUGAGAAGGUUGUCGGCCACAUUGGGAAUUGGACACCGCCCAAGCUCCUACGGGAGGCCGCAGUAGGGGAUCUUCCGCAAUUGACGGAAGUCUGGCCGGGCAACGCCGCGUGGGUGAAGAAGGUUUUCGGAUCGUAAAACUCUGUUGGUAGGGAAGAACGUUGGUGGGAGGUGAAAACGCACCAAGUGACGGUAACUACCCAGAAAGGGACGGCUAACUACGUG